GGCGGAGUGGCCGAGUGGUUAGGCAGCGGACUGCAAAUCCGUUUAGGUCGGUUCGAUUCCGGUCUCCGCCU
rnacentral:tRNA from 1 species